UCCCUUUAUGUGAAAACAAGCUGCUAGCUGAUACACACCUCUCUUUCCUUUUUUUUUUUUUUUUUUAAUUUUCUUUUGAAAAAAUUUAAUGGGUAUAAUUAUUAAAUAUGUAUUAAUUUUCAUUGAAACUUAAAAAAACCAACUAAGAGGGGAGAAAAAACCUAAUCCACGACUUUAAGUUGUGGUGGUGAUGAUGCCAAACCCUAGCUAUGCCAUUAAUUUCCACUUCUUUGCUUUCUUCCUUCAGUGUCACACGUCCCUUUUCCACUUACAAAGAACCCAUUUUUUUACAAAAAUUCAAAAAAAAAAAUUAUGAGUAAAUAUAAAAUAAAUAAAUAAAAAAAGAGAUGCCCAUAUCACUUACUUUUCGUGAAUGAAAGGCAACCAUGAAUACUAACCACUUACUUACUCAAAG
rnacentral:lncRNA from 1 species